GGGGAGACCAAGGGUGCCCUGCUCAAUGUCAGCCCUGACUCUGUGCCACGUGCACUCAGCUCUGCCACGGAGGUGCAUGGCUCUGUAGACGUGGACGGUGAGCUGGGGAGGAAGGUGGUCUUGGAGAGAAAUGCCCCAUGGGGAGCUGAGACCUGUGUGUCAUGGGAUCAUCCUGGAUUUGGCUUAAAAUCCACGUGGCUGUGGAAAUCCCAGGGUGCACCGAGGAUCUGUGGGGGAGCAGGGGAAGACAUUAGGACUCCCAGAGGGUGACUCCAGGGGCAGGUGGCUUGGAGGACUGGCCGUGCAAGGAGGCAGCAAAGGGGCGGCCAUCUGCAAGCUGAGGGCAGAGGCCUUGGAGGAAGCAGCCCUGCCAGUGCUGGUAACUCCUGCAGGUCGGAAGUCCAAACCAAGGUGCUGGAAGGGCUGGUUCCUUCCGGACCCUUCAGGGGAGAAUCUUUCUGCCUCUUUGGCUUCUUGAGGCCCCUUCCUGGCAUUGCUUCUUUCUCCACUGACUCCUACCAUCAGCGCUGAGUCCUGCCUGCCUCUUAUAAGAUCUUCAGAGGCCACCUGGGAUGUCAGAAGCUUCCAGGAACCAGGAGGUAGCUGCAUCUCCUGUCCCUUCCCUGAGUCACCUUGCUGGACUCCACAGUGUGGUGCAGACAAGAAGCUGCAGGGGACAACAUGGAAGGAAGCGGGGAUGGAGGAGAUGGAAUGGGAUGGGCUCUGGGCCCGGCCAAGCAGAGCAGGAUAGGGCUGAGAGUCAUCUGAGCACAGGUGGUUCAAAUGGCAGAGAAGCUCCACGCUGGAGCGGGGAAGAGCUUGGGCUUUCCGGCCAGAAAGCGCAGGUUUUGGCCACGGCUCUUCUGCCACUCACUAGAUGUGGGAGUUUGGAGGCGUUACCCGAGCUCUGAGCCUUACUUUCCUCAUCUGAAAAAUGGGAAUAAUGGUAGGGUUAAAUUAAACCAAAUUUGGUCUGAGGAUGCCUCUGCACUUUGAGUCCAACUGCGACCUUAGCAGCAAAUGAACUGCAGGCCUAGCUUAGGAGUGUACUUUUGUAAGAAAUAGCCGAGUCUUAGCCAAUCACAGCAGCUGAGCUUCUAUAAAUCGCAGGUGGCUGCUGAGUAGUCCAUGUUCAAACACGGCAAACCAAGCUGUGACCAAUGAGCUGUCUCUGCAGCUCACUUCCAUUUUCUGUCUAUAAACACUCCCUGCCCACACUGUGGAGUGGAGCUCAGCCCUUGGAACCUCUUCUGGUCUGAGGGCUGCCCACUUCAUGAAUCCUUUGCUUAAUUAAACUCAAUUCAUUUCAAAUGAAACUCAAUUGAUU
rnacentral:lncRNA from 1 species